rnacentral:lncRNA from 1 species
AAAAGAAUAAAAUAAUUAGGAAUAAACUUACUCAAGGAAGUGAAAGACCUGUACUCCAAAAACUAUAAAACCUUAAUGAAAGAAAUUGAAGAUGAAACAAACAAAUGGGAAAAUGUUGUAUGUUUGCACACUGUGAAAACCAGUAUUUUCACAAUGUCUAUACUAUCCAAAGCAAUCUACAGAUUAAAUGCAAUCCCUGUCAAAAUACCAGCAGCAUUUGUCACAGAACUAGAACAAAUAGUCAUAAAAUUUGUAUGGACUCUCAAAAGAGUUUAAAUAGCCAAAGAAAUCUUAUAAAAGAAAAACAAAACUGGAGAAAUCACAAUACCAAAUUUCAAGAUGUACUACAAAGUUUUAGUAAUGAAACCAAUAUUGUGCUGGGGCGCCAGGGUGGUUCAGUUGGUUAAGUAUCUGCCUUUGAUGAGUCAAAGGUCAUGAUCUCAGGGUCCUGGGAUCAAGCCCCACCUUGGGCUUCCUGCUCAGCAGGGAGUCUGCUUCUCCCUCUGCCUCUGCCCCUCCCACAGCUUGCAUUCACACUCUCUCCUUCUCACUGUCUCACAUAAAUAAAUAAAAUAUUUCAAAAAAGAAAGAAAACAUAAAAUAGAUGCAUAGAUCAAUGUAACAUAAUCCAAAAUCCAGAAAUAAACCCAUGAGUAUAUGGCCAAUUAAUCUGCAACAAAGGAGGCAAGAUGUACAGUAGGAAAGGAAAAUCUCUUCAACAAAUGAUGUUGGGAAAAAUGAACAGCUCUAUGCAAAGUAAUGAAAUUGUACCAAUUUUUUAUGCCAUACACAAAAAGAAACUCAAAAUGGAUUAAAGACCUAAAUGUGAGACCUGAAACCAUUAAUUUCCUAGAAGAAAACAAUAGACUACUGGCAAUCUCUUUGACAUGAACCAUAUAAACAUUUUUCUAUACAUGUCUCCUCUGGCAUGGUAAACAAAAGCAAAAUUAAAGUGCUUGGUCUAUACAAAAAUGAAAAGCUUUUGCAUGACAAAAGGCAACCUUAAAUGUAAUAAGAUAUCUGCAAAUAAUUUAUCUGAUAAGGGGUUUAUGUCCAAGAUAUAUAAAGAAUUUAUAGUACUCAAUGCAAAAAAAUCAAGCAAAUUAAAAAAUGGGCAGAGGACAUGAAUAGAUUUUUUCUUUCAAAAAGGACAUAUAGAUGACCAACAUACAAAUAGAAAGAUGCUCAACAUCACUAAUCAUCAUAAAUCAAAAAUAAUUAUAUAUUACCUCACACCUGUCAAAAUAAGUAAAAUUUAAAAAGUCAAGAAUAACAAGUGUUGAUGAGAAUGUGGAUAAAAGAAAUCCUUGUGCACUGUUGGGAAUUAAAGCAGAUGCAGCCACUCUGGAAAAUAGUAUGAAAGUUCCUCAAAAAAUUAAAAAUAGGAUUGCCACAUGAUCCAAUAAUUCUACUACUGUGUAUUUACCCCCAACAAAUGAAAACACUUAUUUGAAAAAGAAAUUUACACUCCUAUGUUUAUUGCAGCAUUAUUUACACUAGCUAGGAUAUGGAAGCAACCCAAGUGUCCAUCCACUGAUGAAUGGACAAAGAAAAUUGGUAUGUAUAUAUGCAAUAGAAUAUUACUCAUCCAUAAAAAGAACAAAAUGUUGCCAUUUGCAACAAGGUGGAUGGAUCUUGUGGGUAUAAUGCUAAGGGAAAUAGGUCAGAAAAAAGACCGAUACCAAACAAUUUUACUCAUAUGUAGAAUUUAAGAAACAAAACAAAGGAAAAAAAGACAAACAAAAAUGAAUCUUAAAUAUAGAGAACAAAGUGGUAGUUGCCAGAUGGCAGGAUGGUGGGUGUGGGUAAAAUAGGUGAAUGGUACUAAGAAAGCACUUAUGGUGAUGAGCAUUGAAUAAUGUAUAGAAUUGUUGAAUCAUUAUAUUGUAUACCUGAAACUAAUAUAACACUAUAUGUUAAUUAUACUUGAAUAAAAAAUGUGAGUUAACUUAAUUUGUGGCCAUCAUCCUACCAAAGUGUUUCCAACCCUCAGGUGAAUUACAACCUAGAAAUAUAAUGACCAUUAUUUGGAACAUUCCAAUUAGAUAAGAUCACUAAGAAGUGCAGUUAAAAACAAGGAUCCCCAAACUAAACAGAAUGGAAUACCUGUUUUAAUUGGUAAGCAGAAGCCUCCAAAAGUUUUCAAAAUUUCAAAGUAGUUUCAUUACAUGAUUCAUUACAAAAAGCUAAUGAAAAAUUAAGGAUGUAAGAAGCACCUAAGCCAAAAGACUCUAAGAAUGACAAAACUCCUACUGUUCCCCUCUAUCCUUUGAGUACUCAUCCACUGAUCCUCUAAUUUUUCUUCACCAUAAAAUGGCUGCACACUGUAAACAAAAAACUAUCAAGUUACUUGCCUUAUAGAUGUUUCCAUGUCUACUUUCAAAAGAGGGCCCCCAUAUGGGCAAUUCCAAUGGUUGUCAAAACUGAGGGAUUUUCUGGUUAAGUGCUAUGUUAUCUUCUUAAACACCCAAGGGGAAACUGAAAAGUACCAGAGCCUGCAAAGAGGAUUUUAGAAAAAUUGGCAGAAGACAGCAAACUGGUGUAAAUUCUUAACAGAAUCCGUUCUACCAAAUCUCUGUAGCACUGUAGCAUCUAGCUGAGAGAGGAAAAUACAAUUUCACAUUGUCCCUUCCUUUUCAAAUACAAACCCAUGUAUUAUUGAUCCUCUCCCAGAGAUAGUUAUUUUCUUGCUUGUCUCAUUUGUGCAAUGUGGCUUUCUGCCUGCCUAGAAUAUGCAGGUUGUUAAUUCUUUCAUUUGGCUAUCAUUGAGAGUGACUCCAGGUUUGAGGGAGGUAAUAUCUUCUGUACCCUCUUUGAGAACACCUCUUACACCAAAGAGUGGUUAUUCAAUACUGCCAGAAAUAUUUAAAAUUAGAACUAGGUAGCCAGAGGGUAAAAAGUAAAUUGUGGAUAAUAUAGCUGAAUUGUUGGAUCAAUCUAUGAUGCCAUUUAAGUUACAACCCAAUUCAUUGAGGAGAUGUAUGCAACUCUCUUUAUCUUCCAAAUCUUUACAGAACCAGAGAUGCAGCUCUAAUGAUAAUUCAAAGUUCACUCAUUCUUUUAUGAAUCCCUUAACUUCCUCUAUUUUUUCUUAAAUGGCUUGUUAGUAAUUGGCUUCAAGAAUCCAAAAUCUUUCUUGGAAAGACUUGCAUUCAUUGUGUCCAUUAAAUUUAUAUGUUACUUUGUCUUUGAAAUGUAAACACAAUGUAAACACAACCCACAAUCACAACCACAAUCACUUGAAACUAAAGGGGGAAAAAAGGGAAAGAGUCCUUUUUAAAAUGCAAACUGCUAAAAGGGCUCUUUUGCCCAAAUCUAACAAUUAGUCUCCUAAGACAAAUUCCAGGGACAAAUACAAAUCUUAAAAAUCUUUAAAAAUAUUACAAAAUAUAAGGUCUUUACCUCUGUCUUUUUGUGUGUGUAUAUGUAUAUUUACUAUAUAUAUAUAUAUAUAUGGAAAAUAUAUAUAUAUAUAAUAUAUAUAUGGUAAAUGUGAGGUAAUUUUUUUUUUACCUCUGGAUGAUACUGCUAAAAUUAAUUUGUCAAAGAAUUCUAUUUAGUUGGUUUAAAGGCAAGCACUUAUAAAGAUUGGGCACUCUAAAACUCUUAGAUAAAAGUUAACUCAAUUUUUUUCAAGUUCAGGUACUAAGGGGAAAUUUUUAUUGGUUUAUUUAAAAUAGACAUGUCUUUAGAGCUAUCUAAAGCUAGCUUUAGAGCAUUAAAAUUAAAACUUUUAUUAUGCCUGGGUAUACUUUAGUAAGGUAAGUCAGGUAAGUUGAUGUAAUCUCUGCUACAAAAUGAUUUUUUUAAAAAUCUGGCUCAGAAAAAUGACUGAGUUUGGUGUCUCAUGAAGAUUUUUUGGGGGUAAUUUAAGCGUACUUGUUUAAAACAAGCAAAUUAAAUAGGUGUAAAUAUUUUUUAGAUAGCCUCCCAAAUAUUUUUGAUAACCUGAAAUCUUAAAAUUUUGCUGAGCUAGGUUAAAUGACAAAUCAAGUUAAAUUCAUUAAAUAUCUAGAUCAUUUCCCAAUAAGAUAAAAUAAUGAAGCAAUAACUACUGAACAUAGAUUUAUCUACUUUUGGCUUUUUUAUUACUGAUAAACUCAAGGUAAAUUUGGGUCUCUUAGUAAAUCAAUUUUGUGCUUUAUUAAAAGAUGUACUUUGAAAAAGUGCAUUUCUCAAAGUUAUAAAAUGUAUUCAUCAUUUUCCACACUAAGGAAUACUGGUGCAACAGACAGUUCACAAUUGCUUAAGUAUUAGCUUUCACUAUAAAUUAAAGUUCCUAAGAGUUAAGAAAUUCUAAUAAGGGAAACAACUUUCUAUAAAAAGAAAGUAAGGUCAGCCCUGUUGGCCCAGCGGUUUAGCGCUGCCUUCAGCGGGGUGUGAUCCUGGAGACCCGGGAUCGAGUCCCGCAUUGGGCUCCCUGGAAGGAGCCUGCUUCUCCCUCUGCCUGUGUAUCUGCCUCUCUCUCUCUCUCUCUCUCUCUCUCUCUCUCUGUCAUGAAUAAAUAA